UUGAUCCGAAGAAAGCACUUUCCUCAAUUGCUACCAGUUUUGGAAAUGAAAAUUGACAUUAAGUCUUCUAAUACCUUGGAAGAAGCUAACGGAAAUCGAUAAAGAAAGAUUCAUCCCUGGUCCGAAGGACUCCCCUCCUCGAGAACACACACCGCAUUUCAGGGAGGCCAUGCUGCACUGCACAUCCUGCAUUAGUUCCCGCUGGCUGCUGAAACCAGUCGCAGAGCACAGUGAUCCCCUUACAGUUCCAGAGGCCCAAGUCCAACGGCAGCCGCUCUGGGCCAGAGCACAGCAGGACUGACUUCCCGCUUCCCGGGGCUGCAGCUGCUCCUAGCCAUAGUGUUCCGAGAAACUGUUCUGUGAAGCACCAGCUAGUAACAAGAACAGGAGACGCCUCUCGACUUUGCAGCUGCAA